rfam:Oryza meridionalis cultivar OR44 (W2112) chromosome 2, whole genome shotgun sequence.
AAUAAGUGCAGUUUUACACUAUUCACGUUCAACGUUUAACCAUUCAUCUUAUUUUUAAUUUUUUUAUGAUUAGUAUUUUUAUUGCUAUUAGAUAAUAAAACAUGAAUACUUUAUGCGUGAUUAAAUAUUUUUAAAUUUUUCACAAAUUUUUCAAAUAAGACGGAUGGUCAAACGUUGGGUACGAAUAUCCACGGCUGCACUUAGU